rnacentral:rRNA from 1 species
UGAGGGAUAUUGGGCAAUGGGGGAAACCCUGACCCAGCGACGCCGCGUGAGGGAAGACGGUCUUCGGAUUGUAAACCUCUGUCUUUGGGGACGAAAAAGGACGGUACCCAAGGAGGAAGCUCCGGCUAACUACGUGCCAGCAGCCGCGGUAAUACGUAGGGAGCGAGCGUUGUCCGGAAUUACUGGGUGUAAAGGGAGCGUAGGCGGGAUUGCAAGUUGGAUGUGAAAACUGCGGGCUCAACCCGGAGAGUGCAUUCAAAACUGCGAUUCUUGAGUGAAGUAGAGGCAAGCGGAAUUCCUAGUGUAGCGGUGAAAUGCGUAGAUAUUAGGAGGAACACCAGUGGCGAAGGCGGCUUGCUGGGCUUUUACUGACGCUGAGGCUCGAAAGUGUGGGGAGCAA